rnacentral:rRNA from 1 species
GGACUACUGGGGUUUCUAAUCCUGUUUGCUCCCCACGCUUUCGUAGUUGAGUGUCAGUGCCUGUCCAGGUCGCCGCCUUCGCCUCUGGUGUUCCUCCCGAUCUCUACGCAUUUCACCGCUACACCGGGAAUUCCACGACCCUCUCCAGGACUCUAGUCUUACCGUUUCUGGGGCACUUCUUGAGUUGAGCUCAAGGCUUUCACCCCAGACAAAUAAGACCACCUACCUACCCUUUACGCCCAAUAAUUCCGAGCAACGCUUGCACCCCUCGUAUUACCGCGGCUGCUGGCAC